CUGGUUGCAAAGCAGAGCUCCAGGCUAGAGGCCAAAUCACACAGGGUAUGAGGAGCUUCAGAAAUAACCACCAUUCAGCUUUGUUUACUGCAAGGAGCUCUGGAAGGAAACCAUCAAAUUAAGGAUAACAAAGACUUCAGGAAAAGAGACACCAGUGCAUUUAGAAGAGCAGCCCUCAGUUUCCCCAAGGAUAUGGGUGAUGUUAUUGCCAGGACAUACAGUAGUAUCAGACAGGUUUUCCUCUGCCUCUGUACCUGUAGGAAGAAAUCUCUUGGAAAGCACUUACUUAUGGACUUUUUUUUUCCAUUUGGACCAUACUGCUUCCUGCUGAAAAUGAGAAACUGACUUCACUGGAAACUUUCUACAGAUUGCUCAGGUUCAUGAUUUUCAAGGAGAGAGAGAAGAUUCUGAAAUAACUAUUUGUGGGUCUUUAAGUUUACUGUGGGUCUCUGCAAUUCUUCUAUAAUAUAUUAGUGGAAUAUUGUGCUGAUUCAUAUUUCUGCAUUCUCUGUGUUCAAUCUCAUAGGGUGCUUUGUUAGGAUCAAGAGCAGGAGAAAAGAUGAGCACACAGACAGGUUUCCCUGAAUAAAGAACAUGGCUCAUCCUUAGGAUUCAAGCAGCUGGCUAAAAAAAAAGCUUUUUCUAGAGAGGAGGAAAAACUCAAUGUAGCAAGAGCAUCUUCAUCCAAAUUUGCAUACUUUUGAAGGCUGAAAAAGUCUAAUCUUCCUGAGCACACAAAAAAUCAAAUAGGAGAUUUCUCCUUCACUCAUGUCUCCAGCCCACAUCUUAAACUCUGGCAAAUAAUCUCACUCUCUCUUUCUGGACUUCUGCCCCGUGUCUGUAUGUCCUCUGCUUCCCUCUCCUCACUCCUCCAGGCAUUCCUCAAUGGCCAGGCACUUGCCAGUGCUGUGUGGGUGAUGACAUGUUUCUUGGCUUUGAUUUGGAGACUGCUAUAGUUUCAUAAGUGACUGUAAGUGCUUCUUUUCAGCUCUCUGGAAUGAAGGGCAGCUGUUACACCUUGGGCCUCAAUAACUCAAUAAUUUUGUCCAGCCACCACUAACUUCUUCAUCACCUCAUUGAGCCAGCACUGGUCCUGAACACUCUGUUGGCUUGUCCUCUGGACUCUAACAUCCUUUUGAGUCUGCUGUUUUCCUCUUCUGCCCCUGCUCUGUCACCUCCUCCAUCUCAAACAGACACAAAAAUACUCAAGAACAAUUUCACUGAAAUCCCCUUCAAUGCUUACUUUUCCUUCAGGUCUUGAAACCUGACUGUAUUUGGGAUGGAGAUUGCUGGUGUUUCAGCUGUGUGCUUCCAUACUACCAUUUGCAUUAAUCAUUUCAAGUAGAGGACAAUUUUAAUUUCCACAAACCCACCUGAUUUUUUUUUUUUUUCAGUUUCUUUGGUUAUACAGACUAGCAGCUUGGGUGCCUGCUGGGUUCUGAGCAGCAGGACCUGCCCCAUGUGACACCCAGUGCUUUCUCUCAAGUUAUUCACUGUUAAUGGUCUUCAAUAGAGAACCUCUCACAAUAAAAGUAGGCAAAAAAAGCACCCAUUAGAAAUCAUGUGUGUUUGGUCCUGAAGCAGAAGACCAGGAACAAAAGUUAGUUGAGCUUUUUGCCUCUGACUUGACAGGGAAUUAUUAAGGGCACAUCAGAGA